GCCCAUGGUCUCCAAAGGGCCCUGGGCAGUGAAGGCACGGACAUAUGGAUGCCGGAUAUGCAUGGACAUGUCUCCCCGCACUUCCUGCAUCUGCGCUCUCUGUCCCCACACUUUUCUCAGCCGUAACAGCUGUUUUAUCCAUUAUUAACAUGUGGUAAUGCGUUUUUCUCAGCCGUCUUUGAACGCACCAUAAGCGUGCGCAAGCUACUCCUGCAGAUGAAGAUGACUGAUAGGAGCUGCUGUGCUGAGCAGAGCCUCACGGUGUAAAGAGCAACUAAAACUUGGCACAGUUUUUACCAAACAAACCAUUUACAAAGAACAAGGUCAGGGAGGAGACAGACCUGAUAGCCUACAGCAGCAGGGAUCAUGAUGCAGACUUUCCUCAGGUAAGGAGAAAUUAUGACUAUUAUUCUUGAAGGGGAACAGUCUUUAAAAACUGGUGUAUAGUUUGAAGUCUCUACUUUUGACAUAAUUUGUAACAGAGUCUC